rnacentral:rRNA from 1 species
CAUUAUUGAAUAUAGUUUGCCUUGAUGGGUUGUAGCUGGCCUUUUGAGGCAUGUGCACGCCUGUCUUGACUCUAUUCAUCCACCUGUGCACCAAUUGUAGGCUUUUCAUUCUCUCUGGCUUUACAAAUGCUUAAUCAUUGGCAUUAUUCAGUUGAAACACACUGGAUUUGAGAAUUGCCUCUUCCUGGCUUUUCUCUUUUGCCUUGUGGCAUUGUUAUUCACUUGAGAAAAGGAAGGACUAUGUCUUUUAUCAUAUACCCUAUUGUAUGUCACCAGAAUGUAUUCAAUGGGCCUUUGUGCUUAUAAAAUGUUAUACAACUUUCAGCAACGGAUCUCUUGGCUCUCGCAUCGAUGAAGAACGCAGCGAAAUGCGAUAAGUAAUGUGAAUUGCAGAAUUCAGUGAAUCAUCGAAUCUUUGAACGCACCUUGCGCUCCCUGGUAUUCCGAGGAGCAUGCCUGUUUGAGUGUCAGUAAAUUCUCAACCCUUCCAAGUUUGUAUUGAACUUUUUGGGGUUUGGAUGUGGAGGUACUGUUGGCCUUGUAUAGGUUGACUCCUCUGAAAUGUAUUAGCAGAACUGUUUGCGAUCCGUAAUAGGUGUGAUAAUUAUCUACACCAGUGGGUUGCUUUCGCUUGUUCAGCUGCAAACUGUCUGCAUAGACAACUGAAAACUGAUUAUUUGACCUCAAAUCAGGUAGGACUACCCGCUGAACUUAAGCAUAU